rnacentral:rRNA from 1 species
UACGUAGGGUGCGAGCGUUAAUCGGAAUUACUGGGCGUAAAGCGUGCGCAGGCGGUGAUGUAAGACAGAUGUGAAAAUCCCCGGGCUCAACCUGGGACCUGCAUUUGUGACUGCAUCGCUAGAGUACGGCAGAGGGGGAUGGAAUUCCGCGUGUAGCAGUGAAAUGCGUAGAUAUGCGGAGGAACACCGAUGGCGAAGGCAAUCCCCUGGGCCUGCACUGACGCUCAUGCACGAAAGCGUGGGGAGCAA